AGAGAGAUUUAUUCCGUAGCAAAAUUUUGGUUUAUAGAGAGGGAAUUACGAGAGAUCUACGAUGGUUUAAAAAAGUAUUUUAUUUAUUCAACAUAUAGCGAAUUAGAGAGGGUUUAGCGAGUGAUAAGUUACGGAUCUUACAAGUCUUUAUCGACGCGCCCUUAUUCGUCGGUAAUCGGUGGAAAACGAAGGCAUUUGGCGAGGGUUCAACGAGGGAAAAAAAAUCGGCGACUUUUUGUCUUCUGGUAUGUAUUUAGCGAGAGAAUGCCGAUGGAGCAUACACACGUUAUGUUUUUUUAAUUGAAGAUCUCUCGCUGAUUGACAAAUCCAAUUCCAGUUUCACGAAGUUUGUAUGACGACACCAUGGACCAUUGCAGCUUCGGAUUCCGACAGCCUCCACAUUUUUGAAACCUAAAAUUAUUCUUCCUUAACUUCCGAUUCAGGAGGUGGGAGUGAAGAAGUUCCAGUCGUGCUUUACCCAUAGUUCAAGAGAGAAGCAACUGUUGAGCCUCUGUUCUCCUCUGUUCUCUGUUCAAACAGGGAGCUUCUGAAAGGUGAAUCAGAGGGACUUUUGAAACUUCCUGCAUUCCGCCCUUAUGUUGAGCUCUAUGCAAAGGCUGCAAAUACAUGAUAUUUGUCCGCGUUACUAAUAGGGAUGAAGAAUGACACUGAAAGAGUCGAGGUAAUCCCCGUAGUUUCCGCUGAAUCCACCAAAGCUACCCUUAGCGACUGGCAGCGAGAAACUAGUCCCCUGGGUUGUGCCAUAUGGCCCAUACUUCUUUUUGUUGGUUAGGAAAGACAAUGACGUAAUCACAGUGUAGCCGGCAUAUACUCCCACAGUUCCGCUAAUCCCGAUGAGGUUCUCAUCAUCAGCAAAUGUAAACUGAAGAUAUACCCAAAUAGAUGAUAAAUGAUGUAUGAUAAAACUAGAAUAUAAGUGCAGUACAUGUUUAGGUAACAGAUGUAAUGAAAGCCCACUAUACCGUAUGAGGUGAACCACCAUCACCACCAUAUGUUUCAGAAUGGUGUUUGACAUUAUCACGA